UAGAGGAUAAUCAGCUGGAUCAAACACUGCCUUAAAUUACAGCAGAGAAUCAAAUAGUGGCUGAUGUCUAUUCACCCGCAUGGGUAAACACUGUGCCUGUAAUUUGCUUUUUCUCUAAAUCUCUCUCUCUCCCCCUCUCUCUCUCUCAUCACACACUCCAUUACCGUGAUGCACCACUAACAUUGUUGUAAACAAACCCCUGAUGCUCAAAAACACACCUCUUUGAUCCGGGUUUGAAGACCUCCCUGAAUCUGCUGGUACCCCUUCCACCUGAUAUUCAGAGACCACUUACAAAGGAAACAGGAAGAGGCCAUGUUCAGACUGCCUGUAAAUCAGCUAACGUGGAUGUGACCAUGCAGCGUUUUCCGAAGACAGAAGAGAAACUUAAUGAGAGGAGACAGAAGUCCUGUUAAAAGUAAAUAAGACGGGAACUCCAAACAUCUACAGAUGUUUCUGACGAAGACUGUGGUAAGUCACCAUAAUCGAGACAAAUGGUUUGCAAUCCAAAUUUCAAUUGUAAAGCUGAAAAUAUGUACAUUUUUAUAGUCCAGUGGCAGAGAUGUAUAUGUUUCUGAUAAACUGCA